GACGAACGCUGGCGGCGUGCCUAAUACAUGCAAGUAGAACGCUGAAGAGAGGAGCUUGCUCUUCUUGGAUGAGUUGCGAACGGGUGAGUAACGCGUAGGUAACCUGCCUUGUAGCGGGGGAUAACUAUUGGAAACGAUAGCUAAUACCGCAUAACAAUGGAUGACACAUGUCAUUUAUUUGAAAGGGGCAAUUGCUCCACUACAAGAUGGACCUGCGUUGUAUUAGCUAGUAGGUGAGGUAAUGGCUCACCUAGGCGACGAUACAUAGCCGACCUGAGAGGGUGAUCAGCCACACUGGGACUGAGACACGGCCCAGACUCCUACGGGAGGCAGCAGUAGGGAAUCUUCGGCAAUGGGGGCAACCCUGACCGAGCAACGCCGCGGGAGUGAAGAAGGUUUUCGGAUCGUAAAGCUCUGUUGUAAGUCAAGAACGGGUGUGAGAGUGGAAAGUUCACACUGUGACGGUAGCUGACCAGAAAGGGACGGCUAACUACGUG
rnacentral:rRNA from 1 species